rnacentral:snRNA from 1 species
GCUUCUUGGCCAUUUGGCUAAGAUCAAGUUUAGGAU